rnacentral:rRNA from 1 species
ACCGGACCGACAGCAAUAUGAAGGCCAGGCUGAAGACUUUGCCGGAUUAGCUGAGAGGUGGUGCAUGGCCGUCGUCAGUUCGUACUGUGAAGCAUCCUGUUAAGUCAGGCAACGAGCGAGACCCACGCCCACAGUUGCCAGCGUACUCUCUGGAGUGACGGGUACACUGUGGGACCGCCGCUGCUAAAGCGGAGGAAGGAAUGGGCAACGGUAGGUCAGUAUGCCCCGAAUAUCCCGGGCUACACGCGAGCUACAAUGGUUGGUACAAUGGGUAUCUACCCGAAAGGGGACGGGAAUCUCCUAAAACCAAUCUUAGUUCGGAUUGAGGGCUGCAACUCGCCCUCAUGAAGCUGGAAUCCGUAGUAAUCGCGUUUCAACAGAACGCGGUGAAUACGUCCCUGCUCCUU